rnacentral:rRNA from 1 species
AUGAAAAUCCACAUAUCAGAUAUUAAACUGAUAAGAACAGAUACUACACUUGAUCUUAGCCAAAAGGCCGAGAAAGAUAUGAUUUGUCGUGGAGGCUUGCCCCUCCUUUUGUAUCCUCCCGACCGACUCUUUUGCCUUAGCCAGGCAAUGUGGUACUAA